GUGCUCGCUUCAGCAGUGCAUGUACUAAAAUUGGAAUGAUGCAGAGAAGAUUAGCAUGACCUCUGUGCAAGGAUUGCACGCAAAUAAAUGAAGUGUUCCACAUUUUU